CAUCUUAUACUUGGGAGUCAGACUGUGGGUGAUAAGAUUCAUAGUCGAAAGGGCAACAGCCCAGAUCGUCAGCUAAGGUCCCUAAAUGUAAGUUAAGUGGGAAAGGAUGUGGGAUUGCACAGACAACCAGGAUGUUGGCUUAGAAGCAGCCACUCAUUCAAAGAGUGCGUAAUAGCUCACUGGUCGAGUGAUCCUGCGCCGAAGAUUUCCGGGG
rnacentral:rRNA from 1 species